AGAGUUUGAUCCUGGCUCAGGAUGAACGCUAGCGGCAGGCCUAACACAUGCAAGUCGAGGGGCAGCACGGUGUAGCAAUACACUGGUGGCGACCGCGCACGGGUGCGUAACGCGUAUGCAACCUACCCAUAACAGGGGGGAUAACACUGAGAAAUUGGUACUAAUACCCCAUAACAUCAGGUUACCGGCAUCGGUUCUGGUUGAAAACUCCGGUGGUUAUGAUGGGCAUGCGUUGUAUUAGCUGGUUGG
rnacentral:rRNA from 1 species